UGCAGUUUCUGUUCUCUGACCCAUUUCCUUUCGUGGUGUUUUGGUCUUUCCAGAGUCUGCAUGUUCACUCAUCUUCAUGUUUCUUCUUGACCACAGUGAGCCUGUUUUCCUUUGCAGUGCCUGUUCCAGUGGGGGAUGUGUAUUUUUAAUUAUCUGCUGUCCUUAGUUGAAGAGAUUUGUCCCUGCACUAUAUAAGUGUACUUCUGCUCGCUGAAGAAAAACUGUGCACUUUAUGCUCAGAAGGAUCCAAGAGUAAAGAAAACUUGGAAAUUAAAAUGAAAGAAAGGAUUCCAGAGUUUUGAAGAUGCUUGUAAAUCAUCCCAGCAGGAAUAUUAAGCAUCGUAGUCUUAAGAGCAUUCUCUUGGCCAGAAUAUUCCCCUACAGCUCUGGGGAAGAGGAAAGUUGGGAAGGAAUGCUAAUGGAGAGACAAGAAGUGAAGAGCUGCAGUCUCCAGCAGCCUCAGCUGAGAGGCACAGAGAGCUCUGAGUGUGAAACUUUGCCGCAGAUCUGGAGAAAGAUGGAUCUGCUCUGUAUCCCUCACAGCUGGGGGAGGCACUCAGCCUUUGGACAUGGUGAGUGCUGUGGCUGCCAACAGCUCGCUGCUUCAGGAUGGAAUCAGCUCUGCACUUGGGCAGAGCCAGGGCUGGGGAAACACAGAUGGGAUGUCAUUAACAUUAAUGGACUGGCUAAGGAAGAGUUCUGCAUGCUGACAAGAUAAUGUACAGCUUUAAUAUAGCAAAUUUCUACAGCUGGUGGGGACUCUGGUGCCUUUCUUGUGGAAUGUGCCCAGCUAUAACAUUUAUUUUCACUGUUUAAAAUGAGUCUUGAGGAAGAUGUGGGUGAGAUCCUGUUCCCUGUUUCCAUCAAAGCACCCACUUCUCUGACAAGGACCUGACCUCCCACCUCACUUUUUCAAAUGAUUGCUCAGACUCCUUCUGCUGAGCAGAAAACAUUUAAACUGUUGUUCAAAAUGAACGCUUAUCAGGUGGUGUCUUUCCCCCUUCCCAGAGCAGAGCAUUAAUUAAAUUGGAGGACUCAAGGGCCUGUCUGGAAGGGAUUCUGGAUGGAGAGGAAGUGCAAACCCAGAGGACCAACAUGAAAUGCAUCCAGAUGUUCUUCUGAAAUGGAAGAGUUAAAAAUCCAAGCUCAAAAGGACAAAGAAAGGAAAAAAAGGAGAAAUCUUGACUCUGGAAAACAAGAAGCUGCUUAUCAGAGGAGAUGUGGAUGUGUGAUGCCAGGGUGGGGCAGUUUUCUCUCCAAUUCCUGUGCUUCCUCUGAGGUGGUUUGACUUGAAAUAUAAAAAAGAAAAGUGACUUGUUUGUUUCCUGCACUGGGAAAGAUGGAAUAGGAAGAGGGGGCAGAUUUUGCACCAUUAAUGUUGCAGGAGUAGAGGAAUUCCCUGUCUGUUGAUAUUCAAAACAGCAUGAAAUGGCUUUUUAACUUUUUACUGGGAAAACUAACAGGGAUAUCAAAGGACCAUAUUAAUUAGGAAAGAAGCAAGAAGCCUCAAUAUGAAUUUCGUGUUUGUUUGGUGUGAAGAGCAGCACUAUAUUGGUGGUGGCAGUGAAAAUGAGUUCUGGAGAUGCAGUCAUCUGAUCUUCCCUCCCCUUCUGCAUCCACCAAUCCUCACCAAAAUGAGGAAAGAAGAAAGAAAGAAACAGAAAGAACUUCUGUUGUGGUCUGGAGUGUUUUCCUGAGAUUAUUUCUACUAUUUCAGCAAGCUCAGUAGAGUUACUGAAUGCUCAGAAAGACUUUUUGAUCUGGACUGGACCAGCCUUGGACUCUUUUCAACACAGUGACCGAACGCAGUAGGAAUUACGGGAUCGAAGCAGCGAAUUUAAAGAACCUCCAGCGCCAGCACCUCCCUGAAUCUGCCGCUGCCACCAGCGUGUAUAAACCCAGUUUCUUUUCUGGAUCGGCGGAAGGACCCCGGUCCCUUUCCCGGGCCAUUCCUCCAUCUGCCGCGGUGCCACAAGCUCAUUAGAGGAUCUGCAGCAGGGCCAUCUGCCAGGUGUCCCCGGUGUGUGUGCGUGUCCCCGGUGCCGCAGGGAGGCCGGGGGAGCGCGGAGACCCCUCUGCGGAUCAGCUCCGGCUGCAGCCGCCGGCCCCGCGUUCCCCCCAGCCCCUCCCGGCCGUGCCCGCGGUACCUGCGCGGCUGCGGGCGGCGCUCCCCGCUCGUAGAGCGCGGCGGGGGCCCGUGUGCGGGGGUCGAGCGGCGUGCGGAGGCAGGAGGCGGCCAGGAGGGCGGCCCGGUGCGCCUCCUCCAUGCCGGG